rnacentral:rRNA from 1 species
UACGUAGGGGGCAAGCGUUAUCCGGAUUUACUGGGUGUAAAGGGAGCGUAGACGGCAUGGCAAGUCAGAUGUGAAAGCCCGGGGCUCAACCCCGGGACUGCAUUUGAAACUGUCAGGCUGGAGUGCAGGAGAGGUAAGCGGAAUUCCUAGUGUAGCGGUGAAAUGCGUAGAUAUUAGGAGGAACACCAGUGGCGAAGGCGGCCUGCUGGACUGCAACUGACGUUGAGGCUCGAAGGCGUGGGGAGCAAACAGG